AUUGAACGCUGGCGGCAGGCCUAACACAUGCAAGUCGAGCGGAUGAAGGGAGCUUGCUCCUGGAUUCAGCGGCGGACGGGUGAGUAAUGCCUAGGAAUCUGCCUGGUAGUGGGGGAUAACGUCCGGAAACGGGCGCUAAUACCGCAUACGUCCUGAGGGAGAAAGUGGGGGAUCUUCGGACCUCACGCUAUCAGAUGAGCCUAGGUCGGAUUAGCUAGUUGGUGGGGUAAAGGCCUACCAAGGCGACGAUCCGUAACUGGUCUGAGAGGAUGAUCAGUCACACUGGAACUGAGACACGGUCCAGAAUCCUACGGGAGGCAGCAGUGGGGAAUAUUGGACAAUGGGCGAAAGCCUGAUCCAGCCAUGCCGCGUGUGUGAAGAAGGUCUUCGGAUUGUAAAGCACUUUAAGUUGGGAGGAAGGGCAGUAAGUUAAGACCUUGCUGUUUUGACGUUACCAACAGAAUAAGCACCGGCUAACUUCGU
rnacentral:rRNA from 1 species